rnacentral:rRNA from 1 species
GUUCUAACCAUAAACGAUGCCAGCCAGCGAUCCGCCGAUGUUCCUCCGAUGACUCGGCGGGGAGCUUUCCCCGGGAAACCAAAGCUUUUGGGUUCCGGGGGAAGUAUGGUUGCAAAGCUGAAACUUAAAGGAAUUGACGGAAGGGCACCACCAGGAGUGGAGCCUGCGGCUUAAUUUGACUCAACACGGGAAACCUCACCAGGCCCGGACAUUGGAAGGAUUGACAGAUCGAUAGC